GUUUUUAUCUGACAGGGGGAAUACAAUGAUUAAGAAGGUAGUUUCCAGGCAGGGUGAGGCUUUUCCAUAGCACUUUCCAAGUUGCGUUGACCCCCGUGAUCUCUCCAAGUGUGGGAAACUCAACUGCAUAAUUUAUGGUAGUGGGUGAUGGUGUUUGUUCAGUUCACUAA